UACGUAGGGUGCAAGCGUUGUCCGGAAUUAUUGGGCGUAAAGAGCUCGUAGGCGGUUUGUCGCGUCUGCUGUGAAAACGCGGGGCUCAACUCCGCGCCUGCAGUGGGUACGGGCAGACUAGAGUGAUGUAGGGGGAGACUGGAAUUCCUGGUGUAGCGGUGAAAUGCGCAGAUAUCAGGAGGAACACCGAUGGCGAAGGCAGGUCUCUGGGCAUUAACUGACGCUGGAGGAGCGAAAGCAUGGGGAGCGAACAGG
rnacentral:rRNA from 1 species